GGUUGCUGUAGCCACAGGGGAAUUUUCAAGGACAAGAACCAGUGCUGGUAAAAAUGUGGUCUCAUGUGGUUUUCCAUACCGGCAUUCAGCAAGGAUUUCAGAGAAAGGAAUACUGUCUCCAAAUCAUGAUGAGCCAAUAAGCUCAAGUUAGCUGCGCCUUUUUCCUCCCACAGGUAGUCAUGCAAUCUGAAUCCAGGAGAUGCAGCUCUGAAUCCAAUAUUUCAGAAUAAUGAAUAUAAAACUGAAGCCUUCAGGAAGUCAAUGCCACCAUGAUAUUGAUUUACUCAGCUCUGAUGUACUCAGCUGUGAUGUAACAUGCCUUCAAGCCACUAUCCAAAGAACAUUCAGACGUUCUAAAUGGACCAUUGCCCUGUUGCCAGGAGGAGGAGCAUACAAACUGUCACUUGUUUUAUAUAUGAGAUGUACCACGGACUGACCAUAAACUUUUCGGAUGCUCUGUUUAUUUCAUCAGCCAAUUUCGAUGUUAAUUUUACUGAAUAAUGACAAACAGUCUUACUCAUAAGCAUCUCUUACUCAUUCGUAUUCCACAACUAAACAUGCUUGCAAUUACACUGUGCCAUCUAUCAUAAUAUAGCAAUGCUGCAAUGACCACAUUUUUAUGUACCUGUUGUUGCUUUAUACUGAAACUUUUAUUGAAAAUAAACAUAAACACUGACAACACAUAAAUGUUCCAUUCAUACAUUUGUACAUGUUCUUUCAGUGUAUAUGUUGAUAAUGUUAAGACAUAUUUCAUGUGCAUUUACACAUGUGUUUAUUGCCAACCUCAUAAAAAACAUGCAAAGUUUGCUCACAUACAUAUUUCCAACACAGACAUUUACUGAAUGUAUUACUACUUUACGUUGAUUUUGAUAUGUAAAUAAAACAUUGUACUUCUCGUUUGUACAAAACACUUUCCAUUUGCUAUGUUGU